rnacentral:rRNA from 1 species
CGUAUGGUGCAAGCGUUAUCCGGAUUUACUGGGUGUAAAGGGAGCGUAGACGGAGUGGCAAGUCUGAUGUGAAACCCGGGGCUCAACCCCGGGACUGCAUUGGAAACUGUCAAUCUAGAGUACCGGAGAGGUAAGCGGAAUUCCUAGUGUAGCGGUGAAAUGCGUAGAUAUUAGGAGGAACACCAGUGGCGAAGGCGGCUUACUGGACGGUAACUGACGUUGAGGCUCGAAAGCGUGGGGAGCAAACAGGAUU